UUUGACCCCGUCUUCAUUUGAGUCGACACGCACACUUCAGACGUUCAGCCUGGACUCGUCUGUGGUGGAGGUCGUAGUAACACCUCCGCCUUCGCUCCUGAUAACUCAGUUACACCCCCACCUCCC